ensembl:lncRNA
UUUUGGUUUGGUGGCAUUGUCCAUUAGCAUGGGAAAUAGUGGAGUGAUGGCAUUGGUGGACAUGGGAAGGCUGACAGGUGUCAUCUAUCUGGACUUUUGCAAAGCCUUUGAAAGAAUGGCUUUCCGAAAAUAUCUGCGGUUCUACUCAGUCCUCAGAAUUUAUUUUUACUGGAAACUUUUGAAUUAGCUUAAGGAAUGAGAUGAAUGAAUAAGAAGUGUGCUACAGGAACAGUCAGGCUGGAACAACGACAGGAAAUAUCACGGAGAUUCAAACUACUUAGGCUUGGACAAGGAUCCUAUCAAAGCCUUCCUUCCUUUAACAGUGUAUUUGUGGUGAAGAAAGAUCUCCCUUGUGUGGAGUCAUGGAUUUUUCUGAGAGAUUGUCAGCAAGGACAAAGUCUGGUUACUUGAAAGUGGAAACUGAAGUAAUUAAAUGCAUUAUUUGAAAAAAGGAGCUAUGCUUGAACCAUCCUGCUUCUGAUGAAUGUUUUGUAGAGCUGGUCCUUGAUAGGAAUCCCUGAAUGGCUCCAGGCCCUUUCACUUGGAGCAGUACCGCCUCUAGCACUGCUGUGCACAGUUGCAUGUGAUUUUAGAGGAAAUAAAAUCUGUAUAAGACAUUUGUAUCUCUGAACAUCAGUAGUAUAUUUCUUGGCUAGAGUUUAUGUCGUGUCAUGUCAGAGCAAAGCUAUGACCACCUUUUUGAAGAGCACCAACACAUUCAGUUGCUAGGUACUCACCAAAACCUGCUAGUUGGCAGUGAAGUGUGAUGACACUUUAAAACAUACUUUUCCAACCAUGUCUAGAUUUCAGGCUAUGGAAAAUAGCAUGGAUAGUCCCCUUCUGAACUGCACUGUUUUGUCCAUGAAAAUGCUUCUGACAGUUACUGAUCCUGAAGUGUAAAGUGCCCAUUUUAAAUUCUCAUUAAAAAAAGGCUUUUUUUUUUCCUUCUGUAUUAAAAUCACUCAGCUUACUUUUGUUACUUGGGCAUAAGAACAGAAUUUUUUCAUCCUGAAAUGCUGGCUUAACUAUAAAUGCAAAGAAGUUGUGGGCAGCCACUGCAGAAGACACUGCAACAAGAAGACAGGAAUUGAAGGAGACUCUAGGCAGCAUUUAAGUACAGGCCUUGGCAGUAGAUACCCAUACAUGAGCGCAAGUGGCCCGCUAUAUAGCUUGAGCAUACGCAGUGACAUUAAUACACAUGGCCUUUAGCAAUACCUACUGGAUGUAAUGUUUCUAAGAGCUCACUCAAAUAGAAAUAUUAAAGAGUGUAACGGUCUCAGUGGAUCUUCAUGUGCAAACUAGAAAGUUCAACCUUGUCCCAGUGAAGGGUUGAUUACUGUACUCUUAGAAGGGCAAAUCUUACCACGGACCAAACCUGGACAGUAUGCCAUGAUCUACACUGAGAAGAUU